rnacentral:rRNA from 1 species
AUUGAACGCUAGCGGCAUGCUUUACACAUGCAAGUCGAACGGAGUGGCGGACGGGUGAGUAAUAUAUCGGAACCUGCCUAGUAGAGGGGGAUAACUACUCGAAACAGUAGCUAAUACCGCAUACUAUAGGAUCGGCCCAUAUCGGAUUAGCUAGUUGGUGGGGUAAAGGCUCACCUAGGCAACGAUCCGUAGCUGGUCUGAGAGGAUGACCAGCCACACUGGGACUGAGACACGGCCCAGACUCCUACGGGAGGCAGCAGUGGGGAAUGUUGGACAAUGGGAGAAAGCCUGAUCCAGCCAUCCCGCGUGUAUGAAGAAGGCCUUCGGGUUGUAAAGUACUUUUGGCAGAGAAGCGGUAUCUGCAGAAGAAGCACCGGCUAACUACGUGCCAGCAGCCGCGGUAAUAC